GCCCGCUCAGAAACUUAAAGAAGUUGACGGGGCCCGGCACAAGCGGUGGAGUAUGUGGUUUAAUUCGAUGCAACGCGAAGAACCUUACCUGGUCUUGACAUCCCGGAGACCCUUAGGAAACUAGGGGUGCUUCCAUCUGGAAGAAUCUGGAGACAGGUGCUGCAUGGCUGUCGUCAGCUCGUGUCGUGAGAUGUUGGGUUAAGUCCCGCAACGAGCGCAACCCUUGCCUUUAGUUGCCAGCGGUUCGGCUGGGCACUCUAAAGGGACUGCCGGUGUUAAACCGGAGGAAGGUGGGGAUGACGUCAAGUCCUCAUGGCCUUUAUGACCAGGGCUACACACGUACUACAAUGGCCGAUACAAAGGGCAGCGACACUGCGAGGUGAAGCCAAUCCCGUAAAAUCGGUCUCAGUCCGGAUUGGAGUCUGCAACUCGACUCCAUGAAGUUGGAAUCGCUAGUAAUCGUGGAUCAGCAUGCCACGGUGAAUACGUUCCCGGGCCUU
rnacentral:rRNA from 1 species